UACAGCAUAAUCUUCCUCUUAAUACUCCAUACGCAAAACCCAAAAAAAAAAAGUUUUUUUUUAAAGCUAAAAAUGAAGUCUUUAGAAAAACCCAAGUAUGAAAUAGUUGAAUAAUAAGUGUGAAGCAAGAAUCUUGAAAACAAAAGUUAAAGACAUAAAACUAAAGCUAGUAAGCUGCAGUGUUUGUGGGUCUGUUUUAAAAUUUGUGAUAGAGAAAUAUUAGGGAAGUUUGUUGAAUUUCCGGUACCGGAACGGUGGAAUUGGGAGAGAGAGAGAAGCGUAAAGUGUAAAACAGUUCAAAAAUGGAAAAGGGG
rnacentral:misc_RNA from 1 species